CCUACGGGAGGCAGCAGUGGGGAAUUUUGCGCAAUGGGGGCAACCCUGACGCAGCAACGCCGCGUGAGUGAUGAAGGCCUUCGGGUCGUAAAGCUCUGUCAGAGGGGAAGAAAUUCAGGUGGUGAACAACCAUUCUGUUUGACGGUACCCUCAAAGGAAGCACCGGCUAACUCCGUGCCAGCAGCCGCGGUAAUACGGAGGGUGCGAGCGUUGUUCGGAAUUAUUGGGCGUAAAGCGCGUGUAGGCGGUUUUUUAAGUCUGAGGUGAAAGCCCCGGGGUCAACCGGGAAAGUGCAUUGGAUACUGGCAGACUUGAGUACGGGAGAGGAGAGUGGAAUUCCCAGUGUAGGAGUGAAAUCCGUAGAUAUUGGGAGGAACACCGGUGGCGAAGGCGGCUCUCUGGACCGAUGCUGACGCUGAGACGCGAAAGCGGGGGGAGCAAACAGGAUUAGAUACCUUUGUAGU
rnacentral:rRNA from 1 species